rnacentral:rRNA from 1 species
UGCCGCGUGAGUGAAGAAGGCCUUUGGGUUGUAAAGCUCUUUUGUAGGGGAAGAUAAUGACUGUACCCUAAGAAUAAGGUCCGGCUAACUUCGUGCCAGCAGCCGCGGUAAUACGAAGGGACCUAGCGUAGUUCGGAAUUACUGGGCGUAAAGCGCGCGUAGGCCGUUGAGUUAGUUAAUUGUGAAAUCCCAAAGCUUAACUUUGGAACUGCAAUUAAAACUGCUCGACUAGAGUUUGAUAGAGGAAAGCGGAAUACAUAGUGUAGAGGUGAAAUUCGUAGAUAUUAUGUAGAACACCAGUUGCGAAGGCGGCUUUCUGGGUCAACACUGACGCUGAGGCGCGAAAGUAUGGGUAGCAAAGAGGAUUAGAUACCCUCGUAGUCCAUACCAUAAACGAUGAUUGCUAGAUGUUGGAAAUUUAUUUUCAGUAUCGCAGCUAACGCAUUAAGCAAUCCGACUGA